rnacentral:rRNA from 1 species
AGAGUUUGAUCAUGGCUCAGAUUGAACGCUGGCGGCAGGCCUAACACAUGCAAGUCGAACGGUAACAGGAAGCAGCUUGCUGCUUUGCUGACGAGUGGCGGACGGGUGAGUAAUGUCUGGGAAACUGCCCGAUGGAGGGGGAUAACUACUGGAAACGGUAGCUAAUACCGCAUAACGUCGCAAGACCAAAGAGGGGGACCUUAGGGAGGCUGCGGGCCUCUUGCCAUCGGAUGUGCCCAGAUGGGAUUAGCUAGUAGGUGGGGUAACGGCUCACCUAGGCGACGAUCCCUACGCUGGUCUGAGAGGAUGACCAGCCACACUGGAACUGAGAGGAUGACCAGCCACACUGGAACUGAGACACGGUCCAGACUCCUACGGGAGGCAGCAGUGGGGAAUAUUGCACAAUGGGCGCAAGCCUGAUGCAGCCAUGCCGCGUGUAUGAAGAAGGCCUUCGGGUUGUAAAGUACUUUCAGCGGGGAGGAAGGGAGUAAAGUUAAUACCUUUGCUCAUUGACGUUACCCGCAGAAGAAGCACCGGCUAACUCCGUGCCAGCAGCCGCGGUAAUACGGAGGGUGCAAGCGUUAAUCGGAAUUACUGGGCGUAAAGCGCACGCAGGCGGUUUGUUAAGUCAGAUGUGAAAUCCCCGGGCUCAACCUGGGAACUGCAUCUGAUACUGGCAAGCUUGAGUCUCGUAGAGGGGGGUAGAAUUCCAGGUGUAGCGGUGAAAUGCGUAGAGAUCUGGAGGAAUACCGGUGGCGAAGGCGGCCCCCUGGACGAAGACUGACGCUCAGGUGCGAAAGCGUGGGGAGCAAACAGGAUUAGAUACCCUGGUAGUCCACGCCGUAAACGAUGUCGACUUGGAGGUUGUGCCCUUGAGGCGUGGCUUCCGGAGCUAACGCGUUAAGUCGACCGCCUGGGGAGUACGGCCGCAAGGUUAAAACUCAAAUGAAUUGACGGGGGCCCGCACAAGCGGUGGAGCAUGUGGUUUAAUUCGAUGCAACGCGAAGAACCUUACCUGGUCUUGACAUCCACGGAAGUUUUCAGAGAUGAGAAUGUGCCUUCGGGAACCGUGAGACAGGUGCUGCAUGGCUGUCGUCAGCUCGUGUUGUGAAAUGUUGGGUUAAGUCCCGCAACGAGCGCAACCCUUAUCCUUUGUUGCCAGCGGUCCGGCCGGGAACUCAAAGGAGACUGCCAGUGAUAAACUGGAGGAAGGUGGGGAUGACGUCAAGUCAUCAUGGCCCUUACGACCAGGGCUACACACGUGCUACAAUGGCGCAUACAAAGAGAAGCGACCUCGCGAGAGCAAGCGGACCUCAUAAAGUGCGUCGUAGUCCGGAUUGGAGUCUGCAACUCGACUCCAUGAAGUCGGAAUCGCUAGUAAUCGUGGAUCAGAAUGCCACGGUGAAUACGUUCCCGGGCCUUGUACACACCGCCCGUCACACCAUGGGAGUGGGUUGCAAAAGAAGUAGGUAGCUUAACCUUCGGGAGGGCGCUUACCACUUUGUGAUUCAUGACUGGGGUGAAGUCGUAACAAGGUAACCGUAGGGGAACCUGCGGUUG